rnacentral:lncRNA from 1 species
AGAAUCUUUCUUAAUUUUUUGAUACUCAAAUCAAUGUGAAGUCUUUGAAGUAUCUGGCAUGCCAUCAUCCCUGUAAAUUUAUCUUCAUUUGUUCACGACCCUCAGAGACCUGUCAGAGUGGACAAAGGCCUCUGGAGCCCUUCCCAAGAACCUUCUUGCUUGGAAGAUUAGCAGUUUCUUCUCAAGCAUCGCUCUCAACUUGCUAAACACCUUGAAAAUAGUUCCAGCAAGACGUGUCUCCCUCAGAUCCCAGGGCAGGUAAGUGCUUGUGCGCGUCCAGCGCUUCUGCUCGUAGCCAUGUGGUCCUGACCAUCUGGCACUUA